GUGACAGCAGCCGCGGUAAUACGGAGGGUGCAAGCGUUGUCCGGAUUUAUUGGGUUUAAAGGGUGCGUAGGCGGGGAAUUAAGUCAGGGGUGAAAGACUGCAGCUCAACUGUAGCAGUGCCUUUGAUACUGAUUUUCUUGAGUACAGAUGAGGCUGGCGGAAUGGGUGGUGUAGCGGUGAAAUGCAUAGAUACCAUCCAGAACACCGAUUGCGAAGGCAGCCGGCUAAACUGUUACUGACGCUGAGGCACGAAAGCGUGGGGAUCGAACAGGAUUAGAUACCCCCGUAGUCC
rnacentral:rRNA from 1 species